rnacentral:rRNA from 1 species
ACGUAGGGUGCGAGCGUUAAUCGGAAUUACUGGGCGUAAAGCGUAUGCAGGCGGUUCACUAAGUCAGAUGUGAAAUCCCCGGGCUUAACCUCGGAACUGCAUUUGUGACUGGUGAACUAGAGUGCUGUAGAGGGGGGUAGAAUUCCAGGUGUAGCAGUGAAAUGCGUAGAGAUGUGGAGGAAUACCGAUGGCGAAGGCAGCCCCCUGGACAGAUACUGACACUCA